UUCAUAAAAAUUAUGGAUCGCAAUUUAAUUUUUGGAAAAUAGAAAAAAUUUUAUCAUAUAUUUUAAUUCAAUUCAUGUUUCUCUUAAACAAUAUGUGUUCAAACAUUGAACAGAAGAUACAGGAUGAUACUGCUAGGACAAUUUGGACAAUAGGAGAAAAAUUUGAACGAUCCUUCGCUUUAUAUUUAGAAACAAAUAUUUUGGUAUGGCUAGAGUGAUCCUGGGGCCUGAGACGAUAUUUCCAACUAUGCAAGUCUCAAUCAGUAUCAUUUUAUCUGAGAAAAAUUAUUUCAAAUACGUGCAGAAUGUAUUCCUGUUUCCUGGGAAAACAACGGAUUUUAUUAAUGGCGUAACUCUUCUGACUCAUUCUAAGAAUUUUCCUUAGAUUAGGAAUGUCACUCAAUCAGAUUGGCCCAUAAUAUUGAUUGCUUAUACCUCACUGAAGAUCUGCAAGUUCGCGACAUGAACAUUAAGGGGGCUUUAAAAAUACCAGUGACAGUGUUUUAGGAGAACCAAAUUCUCAGAACUUUCAAAACAUUCAGAAAACCGAGUUCUCAGAAUCUUUAGAACUCUCAAACCUUGAAUCUUUUGAACUUUUAGAAUUCUCUAAUCUACAAGAAUCUUUUGAACUUAGAACUCUACCGAAUUUGCAAUCUUUAGUGAUAACGUAAAUGUAUUAUAUAUCAUAAUUCUAGGAAGUUGGAGCUAACAAUACGUUAUGGAGUACUUUUAGAGAUUUACUUUAAUCAAGGACGUAAUUUAAUUAAGAAUUUUUCAGAAAUUAAUGAAAUCAGAAAGAUGAGAAUGAUUCCACUCCCAAUCAAAUGGACUAGCAAAACAUUUAAUUAGAAUUUUACUUCAAUAUUUAGUGAUAUUUGUUAAAAAAAAUCAACGUGACUAGGAUGAAUGGAUCUCAUUAUUUUUUUUAGCUUAUCGUGCCUUACGACAUGAGUCGACAUAAAUGUCGUUACUAUGAUUUUGUAUAGUUAAAAAUUAUAUCUGCCCAUACAAUAAUGAAGAGGAAUUCCUCUCAAUAUUGAAAAUGCCAUAUUGAAGAAAUAAAGAAAAGAGUGAAAAAGAUUAAUCAAUGAAAAGAUUGGAAAUUUUUCAGUUGUAAUGAAAAGAUAGAAAAUUUCUUCGUCAAAAAUAAAAAAAAGUGAUAUAACAGCUAUGUGUACACUAUCGAAUUUAAUUCAAAAGAAAAAAAAUAUGGUUAUAUCAACCAUGACGAAUAAAAGGAAAAUGUUCCAAUUACAAUUAUCAUAUUACAAUCGGAUUGGGAGAGUCUUAUAAUAAAUAAUAAUUAAUAUAUAUAAUAAAUAAAGAUUAUAGAUAAGAUAAAUGAUACAAUUUAUCACAUCUGAUUUUCGCUAAAAUCGGAAAUAUAUAAAAUAUAAUAUAAAAUUGUUCAUGUAAACCGAUUGACGAAAUUUAAAAUUAAAAUAAGAUGAGAAGAAAUCGGAACCCUUCUCAAGAAGAGGAUACAGAACAUUAGAAUUAUAUUAUAUUAAAGUAUAUCUUCUUGAAUCCGGCUUUGGAAAAAUUGUAUUUCCGCAACAAGAUGUAAUAGCGGAUUAAAAAACGAUGGGUGCUAUUCCAUAACAAAGAGAUGUGAACUGAUUCAUUUUAAUAGAAAAUAAUAAAAUUUCUUUGAUAUAAAAGGAAUCCCUCGGGUGGAUCGUCGGAGAUGCGUCUUAGACAAGAAAUUUAGUUGCUGAGAUUUGAAAAAAAGAAGAACUGAAGAUAGAAAUUCAGGAGAACGACAAUACAGAACCCAAAUUGUGAACCUAAGGAAAGAACAUAAUAUUUGGAUACUAACGCUUUACUCAGCAUUUUGAUAUCGUUUUUCCUUGAGACGAAGGAAAAAUAUAGAAGUACCAUAAUAGGGAACGAAGUUGCCGCGAAUGAAAUACCUUUUUUUUAGAAAGACGAAUAAUAUUACAAAUAUUGACAACCGAGUAUUAGAAGAUUAUGAAAUGACAACAUCGAUUGUCAUUGAUAUCCAAAAUAUUGAUUUAAUGUGUUUUCC